ACCAACCCUCGAUCUUCAAGAGGUAAGUGUGGAUCUAUGCUUUCUUUUACAUUUCAUGAGGUUUUAAGUGAGUUUUAAGAGGUUUUGAUGGUUGAGUAUGGGUAGAAAUGCAUGUUAGGGUUUAUGUGGGUUUUAUGCCCAAUGUAUGAUAAUGUAUGUUCAUGUGAUGUUUGUGUUGGGGUUUAAGUUAGUUUUCAAGCCCCUUGAGCAUAUGGGAGAGAGUAUGCAUGAUUGGGAGAGAG
rnacentral:lncRNA from 1 species